rnacentral:rRNA from 1 species
CCUACGGGUGGCAGCAGUGGGGAAUAUUGGGCAAUGGCGGCAACUCUGACCCAGCAAUGCCGCGUGAGUGAUGAAGGUAAUUUUAUUGUAAAGCUCUUUUCUUUGGAACGAAUAAAUGACGGUACCAAAGGAAUAAGCCCCGGCUAACUAAGUGCCAGCAGCCGCGGUAAUACGUAGGGGGCAAGCGUUGUUCGAAAUGACGGGGCGUAAAGGGUGUGUAGGGGGUUUGAUAAGUUAGAUGUGUAAUACCCAGGGGUGAACUCGGGUGCUGCAUCUAAAACUGUUAGACUUGAGUACUGGGGAGGAAAGUGGAAUGCGUAGUGUAGCGGUGGAAUGCGUAGAUAUUAGGCAGAACAUCAGUGGCGAAGGCGACGAUCUGGACAGCAACUGACACUGAGGCACGAAAGCGUGGGGAGCAAACAGGAUUAGAUACCCAAGUAGUC